rnacentral:tRNA from 1 species
AGAUAUUAAAAGAACUUCUAAUUCUUAAAAAGCUAUAAGCUAUAUCUA